UAGAGCAGAACAGGGGUGGAGGCCUCUGACAGGUGACAGAGAUAAGAGGAGGGCUGGACUCCAGGAGCCCGGCAGGACAGCCAAACUCAUCAGGAGUCAGCCUGGUAACUGUCUCCUCCUUGCAAGGCUUGAGAACUUUCUCCGGUGACCUCCAGGUGAUCUUGCUUCCUUGAUUCUGAAGAAGCUAUGUCAGGAACUGUGUGCUGGAAUAUUCAUUGCAAUGUUAUCAGAUAUUACACUUACGAGAGGCUUAUUUUGUGCCCAACUCUGUUCUAAGCGUUUUAUGUGAAUUAUCCUGUGUAAUCCUCCCAAACAGUCCUACGAGGGCUGGCUUGGCAAGUGUGGGGGCGAACCAGAAGUGCCAGGGAGUUCACGUUUUCUGGGAGCAUCCCUCAACGGAUGACUGACAGGAGUUCUUGCUCUGGAAGAUAAAUACCCAGCUCCCUUGCCUCCAGGACAACUCUGAGCACAUACCUCCCUUUUCGUGAUACAGUAUGGCUGCUAUAGCACCUGCCAUAACAUCUGCAUUCUAACCAUGGAGACCUUAUAAAAGGGAAAUGAAAGGAAACAGAGGCUAAGAGGUGUGAAGCAGCUUCCCCGAGGCCACACGGCUACUAAGGCCCAGAGGAGGGAUUUGAAUUCAGGGCUGUCUGCCAGAUGGAAGAGCCUGAGGCAAUGCCCACUGCACCACCCUGCCCCAUCUGUAAGGUCUUUCCCAGUUUUGCUGGUCUGUGAUGCUGGGAGAACACCAGGACCUUCUGAGGAGCAACCAAAGACAGCAUUUGAGUGUUUAUCUACUUUCCACAAACAUCUCGCGUCAGCGGUUUCUUUUUAACAGGAGGAAAAAGUUUCUGGACAAGAAUGAGGCCUCUUGAUGAAUGCUGUGGGGGCACAGAGUAGACUGCCGUGUAGAAAGUGCUAGAACAGGGAAAGAAAUCCUCUUGCACUUCUCAGGCUGAUGGGUGAUGAGUAGUGGCUUCUUAAAGUGCUAUCUGUGAAAAGGAGUUCUGAGGCCACAUCUCAGGAAGGAGGAUUGCUGUGAUCCACAACGGAUGUCUGUCACGCUCAGGGUGGCCAUAUCUCGGGAACAUGGUCCAAGAUAUUGACUGGGUGAAUUGAGAUGGCCAGCUUUAAACUGAAGCAGCCACUUUAUCCUCAAUGCUGCCUCCAUGUCUAAUGCAUAGUUUUCUCAGUAACUGUUUUUUUUUUUUUUAACGAAUUCUUUAAUUUAUACUUCUUUGGAUGUGAGUUCAUUUGAGUCUGUCAGGUCCUACAGCUCAGUGAUCCCUCCCAGAAGUGAGUGGCCAGGGAGUGCUGUGAGGAAGGCGGUGCUGUUUCUGUUUCAUACACGUGGUCAGCAAAGAACUCACUGGCAGAGUGACAUUUGAGCCAAGACUGAGGCAAGUGAGGGAGCAAACCAUGAGGGUAUCUGGGGGACGAUGUUCCAGGCAGUGGAAACAGCCAGUUCAAAGUCCCUGAGGAAGGACUGUGCUUGACAUGUUUGAAGAACAGUGAAGAGGCUGGGAUGGCUGGAAUGAAGGGAGUGAGAGCCAGAGCAGUGGAUGUUGCGGUGAGAGGUGCCUGAGACUAAUUCCUAUAGGGCUGCACAGUCAUAUUACAGGCUUUGGCUUUGACCCUGAGCAAGAUAUGGGCCAUCAAAGGAUUUAGAGUCUAGAAUUGACUUAUGUUUUAAGAGGAUCCCUCUGGCUGCUGGGCUAAGAACAGACCAGGUAGAAGCAGUGAGGAGGUCACAGCGUUUCCAGAUGAGAGGUGAUGGUGGCUGGGUCAACAGUAUAGACAUAGGGAGAAGUAGUCCGAUUCUGGAUAUGUGUUGGAGGCAAGAGAUGGCAGAAUUUGCUAACGGAUUGGAUUAGGUGUGGGAUGUGAGAGAAUAAGAGAGUCACGGGUGAUCCAAGAGGACAAGAGAGUCAGGAUGAUCCCAAGUUUUGGCCUGAGCAAUUGAAAGGAUGGAGCUGCUACCACUCCCUGAGUCUGGGAGGGGCUAGUUUAAGGCAACAGAUCAGGAGCUCAAGGUCAGACAUGGAUUCUGGGGUGAGAUCAUGGAAUUCAACUGAAGGCCGUACUGGCUGCAUCAGGCGAUUGCCCUUUCUUUUUUGCUCCUUCUAUGGCCUCUUGGCAUGUCUAUAUUUUGAUUCUUCCUCUUCUCUUUGCAAACAAGUUUUCUCUGAUUAUUUUUUCAACAUCCCUCAGCAUGAAAACAUCUGACUCUACCCUGAUCUGAAUGGCUACUGCCUUAGUGUAUGGUUUAGAGCAGCAAUUUUCAAAUUGUGUGCCAAGGCACCUGGGGGUUCUGCAGUAAACUCAUAGGGGCACCAUGUAAUAUUUUACAUUUUCAAGGCAAAUACAGUGAUAGUUGACAUCUCCCCGAUGCCUCUUGAACUACUAGCUUAAGGUAGCUCAAUGCAGUUUCAGCAUUAGAUUGCACGACAUUCCUUUCCAUGCCGCCAUAUCUUUGUAAGGUGGGUUUUCCGUGGUUGUUGUAAUAAAAAGCAAUUGUUACUUGAAAGUCAACCUGGAACGGGAAAGAAGGUGUUGCCCAAUCUGCUGCCAAGGUUUGAGAAUUCACGCAGUGCCCCAACAUCCCAUUGACAGCAAUUGUGAUUAAGAAUGAAAUAAAAAAAUUUUCUUUCAA